UACGUAGGGUGCGAGCGUUGUCCGGAUUUAUUGGGCGUAAAGGGCUCGUAGGCGGCGUGUCGCGUCGGGAGUGAAAGCCCGUUGCUUAACGGCGGGUUGGCUUUCGGUACGGGCAUGCUGGAGUUCGGCAGGGGAGACUGGAAUUCCUGGUGUAGCGGUGAAAUGCGCAGAUAUCAGGAGGAACACCGGUGGCGAAGGCGGGUCUCUGGGCCGAUACUGACGCUGAGGAGCGAAAGCGUGGGGAGCGAACAGG
rnacentral:rRNA from 1 species